GACGAACGCUGGCGGCGUGCUUAACACAUGCAAGUCGAGCGGAAAGGCCACUUCGGUGGUACUCGAGCGGCGAACGGGUGAGUAACACGUGAGUAAUCUGCCCCUGGCUUCGGGAUAGCCACCGGAAACGGUGAUUAAUACCGAAUAUGACAUGGACUCGCAUGGGUUUGUGUGGAAAGUUUUUCGGCCAGGGAUGUGCUCGCGGCCUAUCAGCUUGAUGGUGAGGUAAUGGCUCACCAUGGCUUCGACGGGUAGCCGGCCUGAGAGGGUGACCGGCCACACUGGGAGUGAGACACGGCCCAGACUCCUACGGGAGGCAGCAGUGGGGAAUAUUGGACAAUGGGCGGAAGCCUGAUUCAGCAACGCCGCGUGAGGGAUGACGGCCUUCGGGUUGUGAACCUCUUUCAGUACCGACGAAGCGCAAGUGACGGUAGGUACAGAAGAAGCACCGGCCAACUACGUGCCAGCCGCCGCAGUAAUAC
rnacentral:rRNA from 1 species